GAUGAACGCUGGCGGCGUGCCUAAUACAUGCAAGUCGAGCGAACGGACGAGAAGCUUGCUUUUCUGAUGUUAGCGGCGGACGGGUGAGUAACACGUGGAUAACCUACCUAUAAGACUGGGAUAACUUCGGGAAACCGGAGCUAAUACCGGAUAAUAUUUUGAACCGCAUGGUUCAAAAGUGAAAGAAGGUCUUGCUGUCACUUAUAGAUGGAUCCGCGCUGCAUUAGCUAGUUGGUAAGGUAACGGCUUACCAAGGCAACGAUGCAUAGCCGACCUGAGAGGGUGAUCGGCCACACUGGAACUGAGACACGGUCCAGACUCCUACGGGAGGCAGCAGUAGGGAAUCUUCCGCAAUGGGCGAAAGCCUGACGGAGCAACGCCGCGUGAGUGAUGAAGGUCUUCGGAUCGUAAAACUCUGUUAUUAGGGAAGAACAUAUGUGUAAGUAACUGUGCACAUCUUGACGGUACCUAAUCAGAAAGCCACGGCUAACUACGUG
rnacentral:rRNA from 1 species